UACGUAGGUGGCGAGCGUUGUCCGGAUUUACUGGGCGUAAAGAGCGCGCAGGCGGCUGGUCAAGUCCGAUGUGAAAGCUCCCGGCUUAACUGGGAAAUUGCAUCGGAAACUGAUCGGCUGGAAGGUGGGAGAGGGUAGCGGAAUUCCCGGUGUAGUGGUGGAAAUGCGUAGAUAUCGGGAGGAACACCAGUGGCGAAAGGCGGCUACCUGGCCCAUUCUUGACGCUGAGGCG
rnacentral:rRNA from 1 species